UAAACUAGGAUUAGAUACCCUAUUAUUUUUGAAUGUUAAUUGUUAUGCUUGAGUAGUAUUAGUUAUGUUCUUGAAACUUAAAGAAUUUGGCGGUAUCUCAUUCCGUCCAGAGGAAUCUGUCUCGUUAUCGAUAGUCCGCGUUGGACCUUACUUAAUUUUUAUUGGGUUUGUAUACCGCCGUUUAUUGAUUAUCUUUUUAGAGUUUAUUUAAUUUUCUAGUAUCUUUAUUUUGGUUUAUUUCAGGUCAAGGUGCAGCUUAUUUUUAAGUGGAAUGAUGGAUUACAUUGUUAUUUGUUUAUGGAUUGUUGGUUUUAAUAUUGAUAUGAAAUUGGAUUUGGUUGUAAUUGUUUGUAGAUUGUUAUUAUGAUAAUUGGUUCUGAGAUAUGUACACAUCGCCCGUCGCUCUCGUUUUAUUAAUGAGAUAAGUCGUAACAUAGUA
rnacentral:rRNA from 1 species